UAAUUGAAACCACAAGUCACAAUUAUAAAAAGAAAUAAAAAUCCCAUAGGUUGAAAGUAUUGAGUACAAUACAAGUGUCACAUUUCUCAACAUUAGAAACAAAGAAAACCUGAAAAAAUAAUAAAAAACUAAAAUAGUAAAAAAAUACAUUGUAGCUUAUGCUACGGACGCUACGCGCUACGUAGCUAUAGCGUACGCUACGACCCCUGUAGCGUACGCUAUAGGGGAUUUACUCUAUUUGGGACGCUACGUAGCGCUACGGCCACGCUACGCUACGGGCGUUAUUUGAAACACUGGUUUUGUGUUGAGUUUCAGAUGAAUAAGAGCAUUUUACAUGGUUGGGUCCACUCACUAGAUGGAUUAUAUUGCACACAUGUGCCACUUUGAUACUGCAUGGUGUGUAAACAGUCUCUUUUACAUGUGUGUAGCUUAAAAGACCUCGUUUCUUUUGCUAGGAUAAGCAAUAUAUGUUAAAUAUAUCUGAAUUUGCUAUUAAAAUUAACUGGACCCGAUCCAGACUUGACUUUAAUUAGGUCCAUCACAUGGACAUGACUAGAUAUGAUUUUCAACCAGGUGCAAAAGGUGAGGCCUGAACCCAACCCGGUUUCUUAAUUGGUCAAAUAAAUGAGACCCGGACAGUUUGAUUUGGAAGCUAUUGUUGGAAGUGAAGUCAAGUCAUGCUCACUACCCUUGGCAUUACCCCUCCCCCCCUGAAAAUAAAAGAGAAAACGAAGAAGAAGAAGUUGUGGUCUUUGUUUGUUUGGUGGGUAGAAACAGCAUAUUGACCCUUAGUCCGUGAUCCUCCCAACAUUUGUGUAAUGUUUAUGAAUGAUGCCGAGUUAAUUGAUCACAGAUCACAUCGCAUCCAUUGCGCUUUUGCUAAAAAGGUGUGGGUGUGCUUCCUCACUAUCUUUAACGUAUCUUAGGUGACAUAGAAGUCCAUUGAAGACCUCUUGUGGGCUUGGCAUGGUGGAGGAAUCAGAAGGAAAGGUGGUGUGGUGUCUGGUUUUAAUGAGUGUUGUGGGUUAUUUGGGGGGAAUGGAAUGGACGCUGCUUACAAAAUAGUAGUGGAUCCAUUGAAGAGAUGGUGAGAAGGAAUCGGGAAGGAAAGGUGGUGUGGCGUCUUGUUUUAAUGACAAUGUCGUGGUUUAUUUGGGGGGAAUAGAAUAGGCGCUGCAUACAAAAUAGGAGUGGAUCCAUCGAAGAGAUGGUGAGAAAAGUUAAGGUGGAAGUGGUGGAAUGGGCGUCCAAGUUAAAAGCCGCGGACAUCUGUAACCUUUUUAUCUUUUUUUUUUUUUUUUGGGAUGUAAUUUGAUUGGGCUGUAUUCUUUCCCCACCUUGCUAUUACUUUUGCGGGUAUUAUUAAUAAAGUCUCAUUACGUUUAAAGAAAAGGUUAUUAUUAGAAUUGAUGUUAAUAUUCUUUCUA